CCUACGGGUGGCUGCAGUGGGGAAUAUUGGACAAUGGGCGAAAGCCUGAUCCAGCCAUGCCGCGUGUGUGAAGAAGGCCUUCGGGUUGUAAAGCACUUUCAGUGGGGAAGAAAGCCUUGGGGCUAAUACCCUCGAGGAAGGACAUCACCCACAGAAGAAGCACCGGCUAACUCCGUGCCAGCAGCCGCGGUAAUACGGAGGGUGCGAGCGUUAAUCGGAAUUACUGGGCGUAAAGCGCGCGUAGGCGGUCUGAUAAGCCGGUUGUGAAAGCCCCGGGCUCAACCUGGGAACGGCAUCCGGAACUGUCAGGCUAGAGUGCAGGAGAGAAAGGUAGAAUUCCCGGUGUAGCAGUGAAAUGCGUAGAGAUCGGGAGGAAUACCAGUGGCGAAGGCGGCCUUCUGGACUGACACUGACGCUGAGGUGCGAAAGCGUGGGUAGCAAACAGGAUUAGAUACCCGGGUAGUC
rnacentral:rRNA from 1 species